GUUCGGAUAGCUCAUUCGGUAGAGCAAUCGGUGAAAACCGAUGUGUAGCGGGUUCGAAUCCCGCUCGAACG
rnacentral:tRNA from 1 species